UACGUAGGGGGCAAGCGCUGUCCGGAUUCAUUGGGCGUAAAGCGCGUGUAGGCGGCCAGGUAGGUCUGCUGUGAAAACUCGAGGCUCAACCUCGAGACGUCGGCGGAAACCAUCUGGCUAGAGUCCGGAAGAGGAGAGUGGAAUUCCUGGUGUAGCGGUGAAAUGCGCAGAUAUCAGGAAGAACACCCGUGGCGAAGGCGGCUCUCUGGGACGGUACUGACGCUGAGACGCGAAAGCGUGGGGAGCGAACAGG
rnacentral:rRNA from 1 species